rnacentral:misc_RNA from 1 species
CAACAGGCUUUAGGUAAUUGGAUUUAAUUGACAGAGUUCAUUUAAUUAGAAUUGCAAGCAACUGUAAGUAUUUUCAUUGCUUGUGGUUGUUUAUGUACACAACAGGCUUUAGGUAUUUGGAUUUAAUUAACAGAAUUUAUUUAAUUAGAACUGCAAGUAAAACUUUGUUAGUUGAGGUUGAGGCUGGUGAUUGUUUAUGUACACAACAGGCUUUAAGAAUUUGGAUUUAAUUAACAGAAUUCAUUUAAUUAGAACUGCAAGCAACUGUAAGUAUUUCCAUUGCUUGUGGUUUUUUAUGUACAUAACAACAAGCUUUAAGUAUUUGGAUUUAAUUAAGAGAAUUCAUUUAAUUAGAACUGCAAGUAUAAAACAUUGUUAGUUGAGGUUCUGUUAAUUCCAUUUGUUUUGUAAUGGAAAGUAAUAGAGUAAAAUCUGAUUUAUCUGAAUAAUAAGGAAAGUUAUAGCAAGUUAAUGAAAAUCCACUUGAACCGACGAUACAGAACUGUAUUUAUAUUCUGAAAAUAGAAAAUGAACUUCUCUGUAC